UUAAGUGAAUAAGGGCGCACGGUGGAUGCCUUGGCACUAGGAGCCGAUGAAGGACGGGACUAACACCGAUAUGCUUUGGGGAGCUGUACGUAAGCUAUGAUCCAGAGAUUUCCGAAUGGGGGAACCCAACAUCUUUAAUAGGAUGUUACGAUUGUGUGAAUACAUAGCACAUUCGAGGUAGACGCAGAGAACUGAAACAUCUAAGUACCUGCAGGAAGAGAAAGAAAAUUCGAUUCCCUGAGUAGCGGCGAGCGAAACGGGAAAAGCCCAAACCAGCAAGCUUGCUUGUUGGGGUUGUAGGACUCCAAUAUGGUAGUUCUUUCAGAUAGUCGAAUGACUUGGAAAAGUCAGUCAAAGAGGGUAAAAACCCCGUAGACGAAAUGUGGAAGACACCUAGGAGGAUCCUGAGUACGGCGGAACACGAGAAAUUCCGUCGGAAUCCGGGAGGACCAUCUCCCAAGGCUAAAUACUCCCUAGUGACCGAUAGUGAACCAGUACCGUGAGGGAAAGGUGAAAAGCACCCCGGAAGGGGAGUGAAAUAGAACCUGAAACCGUGUGCCUACAACAAGUCAAAGCCCGUUAAUGGGUGAUGGCGUGCCUUUUGUAGAAUGAACCGGCGAGUUACGAUUGCAUGCGAGGUUAAGUUGAAGAGACGGAGCCGCAGCGAAAGCGAGUCUGAAUAGGGCGUUUGAGUAUGUAGUCGUAGACCCGAAACCAUGUGAUCUACCCAUGUCCAGGUUGAAGGUGCGGUAAAACGCACUGGAGGACCGAACCCACGUACGUUGAAAAGUGCGGGGAUGAGGUGUGGGUAGCGGAGAAAUUCCAAACGAACUUGGAGAUAGCUGGUUCUCUCCGAAAUAGCUUUAGGGCUAGCCUCGGAAUUGAGAAUGAUGGAGGUAGAGCACUGUUUGGACUAGGGGCCCAUCUCGGGUUACCGAAUUCAGAUAAACUCCGAAUGCCAUUCAUUCAUAUCCGGGAGUCAGACUGUGAGUGAUAAGAUCCAUAGUCGAAAGGGAAACAGCCCAGACCACCAGCUAAGGUCCCAAAAUAUAUGUUAAGUGGAAAAGGAUGUGGGGUUGCACAGACAACUAGGAUGUUGGCUUAGAAGCAGCCACCAUUUAAAGAGUGCGUAAUAGCUCACUAGUCGAGUGACCCUGCGCCGAAAAUAUACCGGGGCUAAACAUAUUACCGAAGCUGUGGAGUACACCUUUAGGUGUAUUGGUAGGAGAGCGUUCUAAGGGCGUUGAAGGCAGAUCGUGAGGACUGCUGGAGCGCUUAGAAGUGAGAAUGCCGGUAUGAGUAGCGAAAGACAGGUGAGAAUCCUGUCCACCGAAUGACUAAGGUUUCCUGGGGAAGGCUCGUCCGCCCAGGGUUAGUCGGGACCUAAGCCGAGGCCGACAGGCGUAGGCGAUGGAUAACAGGUUGAUAUUCCUGUACCCGUUGUUUUUGUUUGAGCAAUGGAGGGACGCAGGAGGCUAAGGAAUGCAGACGAUCGGAAAUGUCUGUCCAAGCAGUAAGUCUGAAGAGGAGCCAAAUGCUUCUUUUCUUAAGGACAAGCUGUGAUGGGGAGGGAAAUAAUAGUACCGAAGUUCCUGAUGUCACACUGCCGAGAAAAGCUUCUAGUGAGAAAACAGCGGCCCGUACCGCAAACCGACACAGGUAGUCGAGGAGAGAAUCCUAAGGUGAGCGAGAGAACUCUCGUUAAGGAACUCGGCAAAAUGACCCCGUAACUUCGGGAGAAGGGGUGCUGAUCAUACGAUCAGCCGCAGUGAAUAGGCCCAAGCGACUGUUUAUCAAAAACACAGGUCUCUGCAAAAUCGUAAGAUGAAGUAUAGGGGCUGACGCCUGCCCGGUGCUGGAAGGUUAAGAGGAGUGCUUAGCGCAAGCGAAGGUACGAAUUGAAGCCCCAGUAAACGGCGGCCGUAACUAUAACGGUCCUAAGGUAGCGAAAUUCCUUGUCGGGUAAGUUCCGACCCGCACGAAAGGCGUAACGAUUUGGGCACUGUCUCAACGAGAGACUCGGUGAAAUUUUAGUACCUGUGAAGAUGCAGGUUACCCGCGACAGGACGGAAAGACCCCAUGGAGCUUUACUGUAGUUUGAUAUUGAGUGUCUGUACCGCAUGUACAGGAUAGGUAGGAGCCGUAGAAAUCGGAACGCUAGUUUCGAUGGAGGCGCUGGUGGGAUACUACCCCUGCGUUAUGGCCACUCUAACCCGUACCACUAAUCGUGGUGGGAGACAGUGUCAGAUGGGCAGUUUGACUGGGGCGGUCGCCUCCUAAAAGGUAACGGAGGCGCCCAAAGGUUCCCUCAGAAUGGUUGGAAAUCAUUCGAAGAGUGUAAAGGCAGAAGGGAGCUUGACUGCGAGACCAACAAGUCGAGCAGGGACGAAAGUCGGGCUUAGUGAUCCGGUGGUUCCGCAUGGAAGGGCCAUCGCUCAACGGAUAAAAGCUACCCUGGGGAUAACAGGCUUAUCUCCCCCAAGAGUCCACAUCGACGGGGAGGUUUGGCACCUCGAUGUCGGCUCG
rnacentral:rRNA from 1 species